GACGAACGCUGGCGGCGUGCUUAACACAUGCAAGUCGAGCGGAAAGGCCCUUCGGGGUACUCGAGCGGCGAACGGGUGAGUAACACGUGAGCAACCUGCCCUAGGCUUUGGGAUAACCCCGGGAAACCGGGGCUAAUACCGAAUAGGACCUCCGGUCGCAUGACCGGGGGUGGAAAGUUUUUCGGCCUGGGAUGGGCUCGCGGCCUAUCAGCUUGUUGGUGGGGUGAUGGCCUACCAAGGCGACGACGGGUAGCCGGCCUGAGAGGGCGACCGGCCACACUGGGACUGAGACGCGGCCCAGACUCCUACGGGAGGCAGCAGUGGGGAAUAUUGCACAAUGGGCGGAAGCCUGAUGCAGCGACGCCGCGUGAGGGAUGACGGCCUUCGGGUUGUAAACCUCUUUCAGCAGGGACGAAGCGUAAGUGACCGUACCUGCAGAAGAAGCGCCGGCCAACUACGUGCCAGCCGCCGCGGUAACAC
rnacentral:rRNA from 1 species